GUAUCUUCGGAUAUGAGUAUAGCGGCGGACGGGUGAGUAACGCGUAGGAAUCUACCCAGUAGAAGGGGAUAGCCCGAGGAAACUCGGAUUAAUACCGUAUACCUCCUUAGGGAGAAAGAGGGCCUCUCUUGAUGCUCUCGCUAUUAGAUGAGCCUGCGUAAGAUUAGCUUGUUGGUGAGGUAAUGGCUCACCAAGGCUACGAUCUUUAGCUGGUCUGAGAGGACGAUCAGCCACAUUGGGACUGAGACACGGCCCAGACUCCUACGGGAGGCAGCAGUGGGGAAUAUUGGACAAUGGGCGCAAGCCUGAUCCAGCCAUACCGCGUGUGUGAAGAAGGCCUUAGGGUUGUAAAGCACUUUAAGCAGGGAGAAAAAGCUAUAAGUUAAUACCUUAUAGCCCUGAUGUUACCUGCAGAAUAAGCACCGGCUAAUUCCGUGCCAGCAGCCGCGGUAAUACGGAAGGUGCAAGCGUUAAUCGGAAUUACUGGGCGUAAAGCGCGCGUAGGUGGUUUGUUAAGUUGGAUGUGAAAGCCCUGGGCUCAGCCUAGGAACUGCAUCCAAAACUAACUCACUUGAGUACGAUAGAGGGAGGUAGAAUUCAUAGUGUAGCGGUGGAAUGCGUAGAUAUUAUGAAGAAUACCAGUGGCGAAGGCGGCCUCCUGGAUCUGUACUGACACUGAGGUGCGAAAGCGUGGGUAGCGAACAGGAUUAGAUACCCUGGUAGUCCACGCCGUAAACGAUGACAACUAGCUGUUGGGAGACAAAGUCUUUCAGUGGCGCAGCUAACGUUUUAAGUUGUCCGCCUGGGGAGUACGGCCGCAAGGCUAAAACUCAAAUGAAUUGACGGGGACCCGCACAAGCGGUGGAGCAUGUGGUUUAAUUCGAUGCAACGCGAAAACCUUACCUACUCUUGACAUACUUG
rnacentral:rRNA from 1 species